rnacentral:rRNA from 1 species
UGAAAAUUUAAUUUUAAAUAUUAAAUUAGUAUUAGUUAAGUUCUUGAAAUUUAAAAAAUUUGGCGGUAUUUUAGUCUAUUCAGAGGAACCUGUUUUGUAAUCGAUAAUCCACGUUGUAUCUUACUUAGAUUUGUUUUUAUAGUUUAUAUAUCGUCGUUUAUUGAAUAUUUUAUAAAAAUAAUAAUUUUCUUGAUUUUUUAAUUUAAAGUAUAUCAGAUCAAGAUGUAGCUUAUAUUUAAGUUUAUAAUGGGUUACAAUUAUUAUAUUAAUGGAAAUAUAUUUGUAAUUAUUUAUUGAAAUUGGAUUUGAUAGUAAAUUUAUAUAGAUUAAUAAUUUGAUAAUAGCUCUAAAAUAUG